rnacentral:rRNA from 1 species
UACGGAGGGGCUAGCGUUGUUCGGAAUUACUGGGCGUAAAGCGCACGUAGGCGGCUUUGUAAGUUAGAGGUGAAAGCCUGGAGCUCAACUCCAGAACUGCCUUUAAGACUGCAUCGCUUGAAUCCAGGAGAGGUGAGUGGAAUUCCGAGUGUAGAGGUGAAAUUCGUAGAUAUUCGGAAAGAACACCAGUGGCGAAGGCGGACUCACUGG